UACGGAGGGUGCGAGCGUUAAUCGGAAUUACUGGGCGUAAAGCGCACGUAGGCGGCUUUGUAAGUCAGAGGUGAAAGCCUGGAGCUCAACUCCAGAACUGCCUUUGAGACUGCAUCGCUUGAAUCCAGGAGAGGUGAGUGGAAUUCCGAGUGUAGAGGUGAAAUUCGUAGAUAUUCGGAAGAACACCAGUGGCGAAGGCGGCUCACUGGACUGGUAUUGACGCUGAAGUGCGAAAGCGUGGGGAGCAAACAGG
rnacentral:rRNA from 1 species